UACAGAGGGUGCAAGCGUUGUUCGGAAUCAUUGGGCGUAAAGGGCGCGUAGGCGGCGCCGUAAGUCAGGGGUGAAAUCCCGGAGCUCAACUCCGGAACUGCCCUUGAAACUGCAGUGCUAGAAUCCUGGAGAGGCGAGUGGAAUUCCGAGUGUAGAGGUGAAAUUCGUAGAUAUUCGGAAGAACACCAGUGGCGAAGGCGACUCGCUGGACAGGUAUUGACGCUGAGGCACGAAAGCGUGGGGAGCGAACAGG
rnacentral:rRNA from 1 species